rnacentral:rRNA from 1 species
CCUACGGGAUGCAGCAGUGAGGAAUAUUGGUCAAUGGACGAGAGUCUGAACCAGCCAAGUAGCGUGAAGGAUGACUGCCCUAUGGGUUGUAAACUUCUUUUAUAUGGGAAUAAAAUGUUCCACGUGUGGGAUUUUGUAUGUACCAUAUGAAUAAGGAUCGGCUAACUCCGUGCCAGCAGCCGCGGUAAUACGGAGGAUCCGAGCGUUAUCCGGAUUUAUUGGGUUUAAAGGGAGCGUAGGUGGAUUGUUAAGUCAGUUGUGAAAGUUUGCGGCGCAACCGUAAAAUUGCAGUUGAAACUGGCAGUCUUGAGUACAGGAGAGGUGGGCGGAAUGCGUGGUGUAGCGGUGAAAUGCUUAGAUAUCACGAAGAACUCCGAUUGCGAAGGCAGUUCACUGGACUGCAACUGACACUGAGGCUCGAAAGUGUGGGUAUCAAACAGGAGUAGAUACCCCGGUAGUC